GGUGAAAUUUUAAUACCUGUGAAGAUGCAGGUUACCCGCGACAAGACGGAAAGACCCCAUGGAGCUUUACUGCAGCUUGAUAUUGAAUUUGGGUACGAUCUGUACAGGAUAGGUGGGAGCCGUUGAAUCUUGAGCGCCAGCUUGAGAGGAGGCAUCCUUGGGAUACCACCCUGAUCGUAUCUAGGUUCUAACUUGGUACCGU
rnacentral:rRNA from 1 species